CAGGCACUGCCACCACUCCCAGCACCAGCCCCCAGGAAAAGCCAUCGCCCGGAGCACCCACAACAGGCAUCGCACUGGGCGUGGUGGCUGCCUCCCUCCUCCUGCUCCUGCCUCCAGCAACGUAUUUCACCGUGAAGAAAUUUGCCUGUGAAGGGAGAAACCAGAGAUGUCAAUAUUGAUGAACUGGGCAGAGUUAAGGUGAGUUCAACCCUUACAGAGGCUUUCAGGCUGUGCAAUCCCUUCUUUGCUCAAACACAGCACACGUCUGAGGAAGGAAAUACCAACUCAAACCACCUCAAAGCCAACAUUUCCCAUGAGGCUGGGACUCUCCCUUGGCAUUGCUGUGGCUCUCGGUCCCCUCCUUGAGUGCUCCCGGCCCAGCCUCAGGGUCUGUUUCCACGACCCGCACCAAAAGGCUCAGGCUACUGUGCUUUCUCUUUGAAAGGUGGACAGAUCAAGCUGUGAGGAAGAGUCAUUGUACGCCAAUAGAGGGAAAGUGAGAGAUGACUCAGCCAGAUUCUGAGUUAUGCAGCACAUGAGAUGGCAUUCGCAUGGAUUGCUUGAGCUGCCUCUCCCCUGCGAGGAUUUGUAUUUGGGGGGCAGGAUCCUGGGACAAGGGGCUGGACAUUUCCAGAGGGGCUCAGGAUGCCUCAUUCCCAGCUGGCGAUUCUCCUGUCCUCCAGUGACUCUGGGCUUUGGCUCUCCUGGGGGAUGUGCACUUAGGGAGCCGCCAGAAGAUCCAGAGACCUCUCUCCACAAAAUGAGCCUGCUCCCAGCU